rnacentral:snoRNA from 1 species
GACGUUCCCGGGGCGUGUCGGGAGAGUGGUCAUUGCUCCGCCAGCUGUGCAGCAGGACGGAGCGCAAAGCCUCAGAACUGCCCGUUCUAGUCCCAGCUCUCCUGGGCAUGGCAACCACAAGACCCUCAGCACAAGA